rnacentral:rRNA from 1 species
UACAGAGGUGGCAAGCGUUAUCCGGAAUCACUGGGUUUAAAGGGUGCGUAGGCGGCUGUAUAAGUCAGAGGUGAAAGCCCGGAGCUUAACUUCGGAACUGCCUUUGAUACUGUAUAGCUUGAAAUAGGUUGAGGUCAGCGGAAUGUGGCAUGUAGCGGUGAAAUGCAUAGAUAUGCCAUAGAACACCAAUUGCGAAGGCAGCUGGCUGGACCUUAUUUGACGCUGAGGCACGAAAGCGUGGGGAGCGAACAGG